CGCUGGCCAGGGACUGUCAUUCACAGUGGCCUGGAAAGAAGGCUGCCUCAGCCCCACCCAGGACACUCGGAUCAAGAGCAGGAAUGCUUAGGGGCGCGCAUGAUCUGUCGCGGUAAAAGUGCAAUACAAACCCGGGUGUCGUGACACCUACCCCACCAAGACCUGAGCACCGGGACUCUCUCCCUUAAACCACGGGUCCACGCGAGGGUGUGUCUCCUUUGGCGGUUGGCGGGCCGGCAGGUCCAAAGGACAGGUGUCUGAGCUUUGCAGCCUCACGUGAGCCCCACCAAUAGGAGACUGAUGGAUGAACCACGCGCCAAAUAAAAAUUUCCUGCUACACAGCCUGAGUGUGAAAGAUCCUCCUGGAAUCCCUGCUUCCCAGGGUAAUCAGUCUUGUGUUCUGGACUCCUUUUACUGGCAGGGCACUUGGGACCACCUUAAGCAUCUUGGGUCAUUUGAUGAUUUCCCCUUUCAUGGGAGAUUUUUAUUCAGGCCUAGAGGUGGGAGUUUCUCUCGGCUCUACCUUUUUAGUGGCUGUAAUACUCCCACCUCCAAGAGAAACAUUACUCUCUCUUAGAAAGAUGCUGUUUAAGUCUGUCUUCUCUUUUAUAACUCUUUGUCAGUUGCCAACAGCUUCUCUCACAAUUGCUAUUAUAACAGAUCACACGCUCGUUAUGUUUUUGGAUGAGAUAUAAAUUAUACUCUUGCUGAGCUUCAUGUACAAACUAUCAUUUUGAUGUGGGUUAAUUCCGGGGAGAGAAUCCACAGAUGGUACCAUCAGUAUUUAGGUUGAUUUUUGUUAGCAUCGUUUUCUAAAGGUGCAAAUCCCUGUGUACUGACUGCAUCCCAGAAACAAAGAGUGGGGCUACACGUUGAGAAAGGCACACGUGGAGGCCAAGGGAGGACACAUGGCCUACUGGGAGGGUCUGCCAACUUUCAUCCACCAUGAGUCUACAGAAUCCACAGUUGGGGACCCUCUCCCUGAACUGCUUCCUGACUGCAUACAGCUCUCUGCUCUGAGACGGUCAUUUCAGAAUCUUGUAGAGUGUGCGGUGGCACCCUGGAGCCUGUAUUUUAACAAUCUCCUACUCCCAGGUCAUCCCAGUGCUACGAGUCAUUGGAAGCUGUGGAAGGUGGUGACACCAUCAAGUUCCUAUCUUCCAAGUUCACCCUGACGGCAGCAUGGUGACUCAACUGGAUUGGACCAGAGGCCCAUGGAAUGCACUAGGCAAGAAACAAUGAAGGCCUAAGCUAGGAGAGUGGCUGUGGAGAGGGAGUAAGGUGGGGAGAAGGGAAUGCUUAAGAGAGUACUUAAUCUUCACUUGAUGUAAUGUGGUAAUUGGUUGACUAUGCAGAGCAAGGGAGAGGAAGGAGUUAAAGUUCUAGCCUGGGAGAAUGAAGUAACAGCCCUUCAAUCCUAGGAGUAAGAAUAUUUACUAAGCACUGUGUGUGAGGCAUUAGGAACUUUCUAAGUAUUAGCAGUAUAAUCCUCAUAAAACCCUAUAAGGUGGAAAUAGCUAUUGCCAUUUUAUAGAUGAGAAACCAUUCACAGGAGGGGUUAACUACCUUAAGAAAAGACACGCUAUUCACUGUAAAGUAACCGUUGUUUUGUAGGGAUAAAUGUUUAUUUCUAUAUCAGCUGGUUUUCCCAAAAGCUGGUUAUUCCUGAGUAAGAUGACCGAGUCCUGGAGUGCAUAGCAAAAUGAUGCACUUUCGGUGGAUCCUAGCCAAUGCAGGACAGUCUGCAGAACUGCAUCCUGCCAUGUCGGUCUUCCUCAGGAGGCUCUAUGGUCAUAUAAAACCAGCUCCUGAAUGUAUCCAGAGAUCACACUUCAGGUAUCUGAGCUGUAGCUAAGAACCAGAACAGAGGCAAACAACAGACCCUGAGCAGCCAAAGAGAUACACAUGUCAUACUCAAAUCUAAUGUGCUCUGCUCACAGGAAAAAUUAAUUUAUGGAGAUAUUACUUAUCUACUGGUGUUAACAAAUUCCUGUAAAACUUGGUGGCUUAAAACGAUAAACAUUUAUUAUCUCACAGUUUCUGUGGAGCAGGAAUUUGAGAGCAUCUCAGCUGCAUGGUUCUGACCCAGUAUCUCCUGUGAGACUGGUCAGCGUGUCAGCCUAGGCUUGACUGGGAACCGGGGGAUCCAUUUCCACAAUGUCUCACUCACAUGGCCGUCAGCCAGCAGCCUCAGCUCCUCACCACAGGGGCCUCUCCAUAGGGCUCUUGAAUGUCUUCAAGACUUGGCAGUUAACUUCCCCCCCGAGAGAGUGGUCCAAGAGAGGAAGGAAAAAGGCAUGGCGCCUUUGAUGACUUCACCUCAGAAGUCACACUCCAUCAUUUCCACGGUAUCCCGCUGUUACCCUGGUCAGCUCUACUCAAUGUAGGAGGGAGGCGACUAUAUGAAAAUACCUGGAAGUGGGAAUCACUGGGGUCAUCUUGGAGGCUGUCUUACCACAGUGGAUAAAAAAUGAAACCAUCUACUCAUAAGAAGAAAACAGGUUUUUCUGUGGAAAAAGAAAGAAAGGAAGAGAAUGUGAUCUGCAGGGCUAGCUGUGGAGAGAUGACUUCAGCUCGGAGCCUCAGCGGUAACAGGAGAGUUUGCUCAGCCUGCCUGGAAACGGGCUUGUCACCACAGUGACACAAAAUUCACCCAUGAAUGGCAGUUCCAUCCUGUGCGCCGAGAAUCACCACGGAAAAAUUAUUUCUCAGAAUGUUUUUUGAAAAGGUUCACAACAUUGUUUUCUCAAAAAUGUAUGGAUUCCAUUUGUGUGACAUUCUGGAAAAGGCAAAACUAUACCGACAGAAAUCAGAUGAGUGGUUGUCAGAGCCUGGGGUGGGAGGAAAAGACUGACUACAAAAGGAAAUGGGGGCACUUAUGGGGGCUGAUGGAAACAUUCUGUAUCUUGAUUGCAGUGGUGGUUCCAUGAUUGUAUACAGUUGUCAAAACGCAAAGCUGCACGCCUAAAAGGGCGAAUGUUACUGUAUUUCAAUUAUACCUCAAUAAAUUUGACUUUAGAAAUGUA